rnacentral:rRNA from 1 species
UACGUAGGGGGCAAGCGUUGUCCGGAAUUAUUGGGCGUAAAGAGCUCGUAGGCGGUUUGUCGCGUCUGCUGUGAAAACCUAAGGCUCAACCUUGGGCUUGCAGUGGGUACGGGCAGACUAGAGUGCGGUAGGGGUGACUGGAAUUCCUGGUGUAGCGGUGGAAUGCGCAGAUAUCAGGAGGAACACCGAUGGCGAAGGCAGGUCACUGGGCCGCAACUGACGCUGAGGAGCGAAAGCAUGGGGAGCGAACAGG